rnacentral:rRNA from 1 species
GAUGAACGCUGGCGGCGUGCUUAAUCCAUGCAAGUCGAGCGAACAGAUGAGGAUUUUUCUCCUCUGACGUUAGCGGCGGGGGGGGGAGCAACACGGGGAUCACCUCCCUAUAUGGGUGGGAUAACUUGGAAACACCGGAGCUAAUACCGGGUAAUAUAUUGAACCGCGUGGUGGCUUGGUGAAUGACGGGUUUGGUGUUACUCAUAGAGGGAUCCGCGCUGCUUUAGCUAGUGGGUAAGGUCACGGCUUUCCAGGGCAACGAUGCGUAGCCGAACUGAGGGGGUGAUAGGCGGCACGGGAGCUGAGACGCGGUCCAGACUCCUACGGGAGGCAGCAGAAGCCAAUGUUCCGCAACGGGGGAAAGCAUGACGGAGCAAGGGGGCGUGAGUGAUGACGGUCUUCGGAUCGUAAAACUCUGUUACUAGUGAAGAACAAAUGUGUCAGGAACCAUGCACGUCUUGACGGUACCUAAUAAGAAAGCAACGGCUAACUACGUG